ACACCCUCAAGCUCUGCUUGGUGUUGGGCGUCUGUCCCGCCUCUGCGCGUGGACUCGCCCCAAAUUCAUUGGCAGCGGUCUUUGCCUCCUCUCGCGCAGCACAUUGCGCUUCUCGAGGUGUCUGCGGGGCCCGCGUCCACGAAGCAUUACCAGU
rnacentral:misc_RNA from 5 species